GUGCUCGCUUCGGCAGCACAUAUACUAAAAUUGGAACAAUACAGAGAAUUAGCAUGGCCCCUGCGCAAGAAUGACACGCAAAUUUGUGAAGCAUUCCAUAUUUUU
ensembl:snRNA U6 U6 spliceosomal RNA